GCUACGGGGGCAGCUUGAGGACUGCAGAAAGAAAGGGCGAUGGCAUGAACUUUUUUUCUUGCUAUUCAUUUGCAUGGUGUCACAGAUUGUGUGAAUGUGCUGACUUACUUGUGGGAGGAUACUUUGCCCUCUGCAAAGCCACCUUUAUGGAAGAAUCUAUUACUGAAGAGCUGAACGGGCAGGAAUGGGGGAGUCUGGCAGAGAUGGAGCCUGAGUGGUGUCCACAGAGGUCUUCGGAGAAAGGCCAUAUGCCAUGUGCAGAUCAUCGUCCCUCCCCAGGGGAACUUCCAGCGAGAUGAAUGAGAGGCCAGAUAAAUCAUGAAGAUCUACAGGUACACAUACAGGGAGAAACUUGUGAACACAGUCGGGAGAUCCGUGACGGAGAGGUAACGGCAGCCGAUAAUUAAAUAGCUGCGUUCCUGGAGACCGGGUGGGCUUGACAGAGACAAAGGAGACAGUGGGAAGGGCACGGGCCCCUUCUGACGGGAGAACAGCAAUACCAACACCAGCCCUGCCGAGAGAGGUCCACGGCAGCCACAGCAGCAGCAUCCACGCCCUGCUUUCUCCCCACCUCCACCGGGACCGCCGGCUUGUCUUCUGUUCCCAUGACACGGAGGCCAUGGCCAGCUUUCCAGGACUUAUGGGAGAUGAGCCACUUUACUACGAUCUGAGUCUUGUUGUUGCUUCCGAGGCAAAAACGGAUGGGGGACAUAAACACCAGGGUGGGCACAGAGCCUGCCACAACAGACAAGACACCCUGAUGUCAGGGCAGAGUUGGCCAACCCUGGUCCUGGGAGCACUUUGCUGUGUCCCAGUUCCAGGGUUGGGUCGUCUUGUUUGGUCCGAACAGGUGAGAGCUCAGAGGGCCCCCCUCACCUUAUUAGGCGAGGUGAGGCUCUGGGACGAGUGGCGGAAGCAGCUCAGCUUCCUGGGCACCUGGGAGUGGCAUCAGCAGCCGACAGCACAGCCAGACGGUGUUUCCCCUACAGCAUCAUCAUUCAAACGUGCCCCAAACAGUAGUGCCCAUAGAUCACGAAGGGCAAUGCUGAUUUGGCUACAAGCGGCACCAGGACGUUUCUCCAAGGGCUCCAGGGGGGUGAGGGUGGCGGACGUGGGGGACAUUGAUGUCCUGUGCUUCUUCCUCAAGGCAAAGAUCCCUAAUACGACAUGCUCGGGGCUGGUCCGCAUGUAUUUUCAAAACAUAAGAACAAAGAUGGCUUUUUAUGGACAAACCAGACCAGAAGUAUUCCAAAGCGUUCCCUAGAAAUGUUGGGGCUGUAAAAUAUCUGCGAGAUAUAAAAUAGAAUAUCCUAUCACUUGUCAGUAACACGGUUUGUUUGUUUC